rnacentral:sRNA from 12 species
CGCGUCCUGCGCCGGUCGAAGCCCUGCGUUCCUACGCGGGGUGUUUUCGUAGGCCGGGCAGGAUGCG